AACGAACGCUGGCGGCAGGCCUAACAUAUGCAAGUCGAGCGAAGCCUUCGGGCUUAGCGGCGGACGGGUGAGUAACGCGUGGGAACGUGCCCUUUGGUACGGAAUAGCCCCGGGAAACUGGGAGUAAUACCGUAUGUGGUCGAGAGACGAAAGAUUUAUCGCCAAAGGAUCGGCCCGCGUUGGAUUAGGUAGUUGGUGGGGUAAUGGCCUACCAAGCCGACGAUCCAUAGCUGGGUUGAGAGAAUGAUCAGCCACACUGGGACUGAGACACGGCCCAGACUCCUACGGGAGGCAGCAGUGGGGAAUCUUAGACAAUGGGGGAAACCCUGAUCUAGCCAUGCCGCGUGAUCGAUGAAGGCCUUAGGGUUGUAAAGAUCUUUCAGUGGGGAAGAUAAUGACUGUACCCACAGAAGAAGCCCCGGCUAACUCCGUGCCAGCCGCCGCAGUAACAC
rnacentral:rRNA from 1 species